GUGUUUGCUUCGGCAACACAUACGCUAAAAUUGGAAUGAUACAGAGAAAGAUUAGCAUGGCCCCUGAACAAGGUUGACAUGCAAAUUCAUGAAAUGUUACAUAUUUAA
rnacentral:snRNA from 1 species